rnacentral:tRNA from 1 species
GCGGGAGUCGCCCAGUCCGGUCAACGGUGCGAGGUUCAGGUCCUCGUCUCUUAGGAGUUCGUGGGUUCAAAUCCCACCUCCCGCA